UCUGGUUGAUCCUGCCAGUUGUCAUAUGCUUCUUUCAAGGACUAAGCCAUGCAAAUGUAAGUGGACCUGAUUUAUCAGGGGGACUGUGUACGGCUCAUUAAACGGUUAAUAGUCUACCCAACAUCGAGUGCAUCCGUGCAUUCCCAUGGGAUAACUGCUUCGAAAUGGGCAGCUAAUACCUGGAAGACAAAUCCUUUCAACGAAAACCAAGCCGAUGGGUAACCUGAGGUGCGGGUUGGAGGAUGCUAUUGGCCGAAACAAAGACCAGCUCGCCGAGUCAUCGGCAGUUGCAAUUGUUGACGCAGGCCAAUGUAGCGGAAGCGCGAUUUCGCGCGUUGUUGGACGAAUUCACCACCUAUCAGGUAGACGGUAGUGUAGUGGACUACCAUGCCUCUGACGGGUAACGGGGGAUUGGGGUUCGAUUCCGGAGAGGGUGCCUGAGAAACGGCAACCAUGACUACGGUCAGCAGCAGGCGCGCAAAUUGCCCAAUGCUAACACAGCGAGGCAGCGACGAAAAAUAGUAUUCCUGAGGGAUUCUUUCUCGCAGGAUGCAAUGGAUUGUAUCUAAUACACACUGUUGAGUAACCAUUGGAGGGCAAGUCUGGUGCCAGCAGCCGCGGUAAUUCCAGCUCCAAGAGCGUAUAUAAAUGUUGUUGCGGUUAAAAAGCCCGUAGUUGGAUUUGAGUGCUGCACCUCGUCAUCAUUUGCCGGACUCACUUCGGUGACGAAGGUAGGUGAGGCAUCACGGUAAUGCACUGAGACAUGCGGGAUCGUCCACGGGCACAGGGUCAUUUAGUUGGCUUUGCUGUCUUUCGGAGGGACUACACUCCAAUUUGUGCGCCCGCAGAUGUCACUGUGAGUAACACGGAGCGCUUCAAACAGCCAGUUUCUGGCUGAACGUUCAAGCAUGGAAUGACAAGGGAUCGACCUUCGGGCCUCUUUUUGUUGGUUCUUAAGGGCUCUGGAUGGAGAAUCGUGUGGGUAGUUCCCACGCCGGUCCCCGUGACCGCGCGUGGCAUGCUCACGUACGGGAUCAAUAGGAGCGCAGGGGUUCCUGGGUACUGGAGGGCUAGUGGUGAAAUACUGAGACCCCUCCAAGACCGACAUCAGCGAAAGCACUGGAAUAUUGUGCUUUCAUUAAUCAAGGACGAGAGAUCGGGGAUUGAAGAGGAUUAGACACCCUCGUAAUCCGUUCUGUAAAUUCUGCAGACUUGGGAUCGGUCAGUGCUCUAUCUAAGACCUGAUCGGCACCUUCCUCCUCUAUCGAGAAAUCAAAGUUUUUGUGUUCCGGGGGGAGUACAUUCGCAAGGCUGAAACUUAAAGGAAUUGACGGAGAACCACCACCAGGUGUGGAGUGUGUGGCUUAAUUCGACCCAACACGGGAAAUUUUACCAGGCCAGGACGUGGUGAGGAUUGCCAGAUUGAUAGCUCUUGCAUGAUUCCGCGAAGGGUGGUGCAUGGCCGCUUCUGGUUGGUGAGGUGACUUGUCUGCUUAAUUGCGUUAACGAACGAGAUCUCUGCCAAUUACUAGCGUCGCUGUCGCCUUAGGCUAUCGGAACAC
rnacentral:rRNA from 1 species